UACGGAAGGGGCAAGCGUUGUUCGGAAUCAUUGGGCGUAAAGGGCGCGUAGGUGGUUCUGUUUGUCUACCGUGAAAGCGUACGGCUCAACCGUAUUUUGUCGGUGGAAACUGCAGGACUUGAGGCUGGGAGGGGCUGGUGGAAUUCCCUGUGUAGCGGUGAAAUGCGUAGAGAUGGGGGAGAACACUCGUGGCGAAGGCGGCCAGCUAGACCAGUUCUGACACUGAGGCGCGACAGCGUGGGGAGCAAACAGG
rnacentral:rRNA from 1 species